GGAUAACCCAUGGAAACAUGGUAAUACCGCAUAUACUCUUGCUACAUAAGUAGAGUAGAGGAAAGUUUUUUCCUUCACGAUGAGCCUGCGGCCUAUUAGCCUGUUGGUAGGGUAAUGGCCUACCAAAGCUACGAUAGGUAGCCGACCUGAGAGGGUGACCGGCCACAUUGGGACUGAGAUACGGCCCAGACUCCUACGGGAGGCAGCAGCUGAGAAUCUUCCACAAUGGACGAAAGUCUGAUGGAGCGACAUCGCGUGAGGGAUGAAGGCCUUCGGGUUGUAAACCUCGGAAAUUAUCGAAGAAUGAGUGACAGUAGAUAAUGUAAGCGGCUAACUACGC
rnacentral:rRNA from 1 species